GACGCCUGAGAAGUGGAAGGACCCGGCGUCCAGGACAGGAAAGUGCGUGAUUUACAGCUAGAGGGAUAGGCGCUGUCCCGGAGCCCGUCCUGGGCCAGGGAGCAGGAGAGGGAGGGACUACAGUUCCCGACGCGCUGCGGGGCGGGCGGAGAUCGUGCGCUUCGGCGCCAGUUGCACGGCCUUAGCAGCCAGUGGCGGCUCCCCUGCUCCUGUAACAGUCCCCUUGUCUUCUGACCUUUCGCUCCUCGGUCAUGUGUCCUCGCCGGUCGCCGCGGCAGCCAGUGAUGCCCGAGCGGCGGGUUCCCAGGCCCAGGUGUGGGCGCCACCGCCCACCAUGCGCCAAGCCCAGAGCCUGGUUGAAUCGUUCGCCACCUUGUCUACCCAUUUUGGCCAUUAUCCUGCCACCUCCAAAUCCUGUUUUUGACACUUCUCGGGAGAGAGAGAAAACGGAAAGAUAAAGGAAUAAACUCCUCGUGGUCGUAGUUAGUGGGUAAAUUCAGAUCUCGUUUGAACCGAGGUUUUUCUUAUCUCCAGCCACCGUAUCCACCACCACCAGAAUCGUCUUUUUAGUCAUCACAGCUGGUCGCCGUCAGUACCUUGUUCAGAAGCCUCUCGCAGCUUCCAUCGUGUGGUUAUACAAUCCAAAUUCCUUAUAAAGUCCAAAUUCAAGAGGAGGAAUGCACGUUUAGUUAAGUUAAUGUCUAGACCUUACCAGCCAAUUUCUAGCUCCUCAGUAUGGAAAUUGCAACUGAAAACACCCCUUCCAAAAAAAGCAGUCUGCAUUUUUCUCUGAGUUUUCUUCUCCAAAUUUCGCACCCCUGACCUUGCUUACACACUCUGGAUACCACCUGCUGUGGAGUGGCGGAAGCAGACAUCCAGCGAUAGCUAAGUUUCCUGUCGUUGACACCCAAGCAAGACAGGCGUGUACCUAACUGAGGACCUGCCGGUGAUAGAAGUCUCAGCUUUUCUCAGAGACAGAUGAGUCUUCCCUUUAAAUGCUGCAAAGUGCUGCAUAGUAGAUGUUAAAUGAAAGUCAGAAAGAAUCAAAUGUGCUGCAAAUAAUUGAAGGCAAAGUCCCAAACCAGAAUGCAGUCCCCUGGCCAGUGACCCUAGAGAUGACGCUGGCUCCGGCGGUGGCUCCAGGUUCCUGGAAAGGAACGCAAGCUCACUGCAAGCACACUGGAAAGGCAUGGACAAGGACGGAAACACAGUUGCUCCCGAUCUCAGGACAGAGAAGCCCCCUCUCAUAGCAUCCAAGCUCCAGGACAGACCUGCCCGCCUCAGCUCCUGAAACCCGGCCUGGGGUGCUCUCCAGCCAGCUCUUUUCUGACAGUGCUGAAAGGAGACAUCAUGAUGCAGGGAUGGCAAGAAUGAAAUCACAUCUUUUAAGGGAAUGAGAGAGACUGGUUUGCGGAUCAAGAGGAAACAGCAUGAAAGAGCUCUGAGGGCUUCAUCCUGGGUAGGAAGCCACUUUGCCCACUGAAUAUUUUCUUCUCACACAAAGGACUUGCAUGAGGGAACCGAGAAAGGAAACUGGGAACACACAGCCACAAGAGGCAGUGACUCCUAACUGUCCUCAGGUUCAAUGCCACACCCAUCGAACUAAGAAUGUGCCAGCGCCAUCAUCAGAAAAAUGUUAGGAAUUACAUCUCAUAAACUAAAAAAGAGCUAGAAAACCGUGACACCAUCAGAGCAUCUUCCUGACACCUGCACCCAGGCCAGGAAAUGGCCUGCCAAGGUGCCCUCCAUCUCUGUGUCCUCCACUGGGUCCCCUAGACUCACAGGGUCACUGUGGCUUCCAUUCCCAUGAGAUGCACUGCCUGUGCCUUGCCCUCCAUCCACAGCAUUCACUAUGUUGAAGGGAAUGAGGGAAUGCCUGUUAUCCCUGUCACAGACACCACGUGGGGCCCAUGGGCCAGGCACCACAAGCCUGUGCACCCUGCCAUACCCGAUCAAGGGCCUCCCUGGACAUUAACAAUGGCUAUGAAGAGGGAUGACAAACAAAUGUGUCCCAAGAAGGGGUGAACGUUAAGAUAGGCUGUGCAGGAAGUCAACAGUGAAAGGUUAUGGUGACAGCAGGGCAAGGAGGCCUUCAGUGUGGCAGGAAUGAGGGCUGUUAGGACAGGGCCCGUGAAGACACUGGAGGAGGCAGUGGCAGGUCCUGGAGGGUCACGGAGGCCACACGACGGCAUUUGGGCACCAAGCAAAUGACAAUGGAGAGCCAUGGAAGGCUGGACUUGGAGAAGUGUCUAUACUGGAAAGUGGUGGUCUUAUAGAAGAAUAUAUCACUUCCAGCAGUAGUAGAAAUAGAAGAGAAUAAAGACAAUUCUACAGAUUCGUUAGAAAUGAGCAGAGACAUGAAACGGUAAGAUGAAGAAAAGAAGACAUGGUAAGUAGAAGACAUACAAUAAAUUGGUGGACCUAAAUCCAAAUAUAAC
rnacentral:lncRNA from 1 species